AUUGAACGCUGGCGGCAGGCCUAACACAUGCAAGUCGAGCGGAUGAAGGGAGCUUGCUCCUGGAUUCAGCGGCGGACGGGUGAGUAAUGCCUAGGAAUCUGCCUGGUAGUGGGGGAUAACGUCCGGAAACGGGCGCUAAUACCGCAUACGUCCUGAGGGAGAAAGUGGGGGAUCUUCGGACCUCACGCUAUCAGAUGAGCCUAGGUCGGAUUAGCUAGUUGGUGGGGUAAAGGCCUACCAAGGCGACGAUCCGUAACCGGUCUGAGAGGAUGAUCAGUCACACUGGAACUGAGACACGGUCCAGACUCCUACGGGAGGCAGCAGUGGGGAAUAUUGGACAAUGGGCGAAAGCCUGAUCCAGCCAUGCCGCGUGUGAAGAAGGUCUUCGGAUUGUAAAGCACUUUAAGUUGGGAGGAAGGGCAGUAAGUUAAUACCUUGCUGUUUUGACGUUACCAACAGAAUAAGCACCGGCUAACUUCGUG
rnacentral:rRNA from 1 species